CUGGGCUUUAUUUUAACACAAUCUGACCAUUAAACAACUAACUUGGCUUGAAUUAGAAGGUAGCUGAUUUGUGCUCUUAAACAAGUCCCUCUCAAACACUGUGAAUUUCUUCAGUCUAAUGUCACCAGUUCUGUGAAAGUUCUUUCCUUCUGGCUGAAUACAACUGGAAGAUUUUCCCAAUCGUAUGAUCUAACAAUAUUGUGUGAUGUGGUCCUAAGUUUGAGUGGACUUCGUGGGGAUAACAAAAUACCUAAUUUAGGCCAAAAUAUUUUUAUUUGUUCAUGGUCAGUAUUUUCACAAGUCAACCGAUUGUGAGGCCCAGAGGGUAAAUGCAUUCAUAUACACUGAAGUGAUUUGGGAGUUUGGAGAUUUGGGCAUAAAAACAGCUGAAAAGGACAGUGCUCAGUGUAAGACAUGCAGUUAAGAAUCGUACUGUACUCUCGAGGGAUGUAACAGUAUGUAACGCCAUUAAUUCACCUCAUGGUUCAAUAAACAUAACAAUGUGAAGUCUAAUCUUACAGAAAUAAACUAGUGCUUAAAGUGCACUAUGCAACUUUUCUGGUUGGGGAAUUGCCACCUGCUAGUCUCCAUCACAAUGUUAUUUCUUUGCUUGUAAUGUUCGGCAUUUUAUCUAGAUUUAAUUACAGAUGAUUUUAUUGCUGCUCUACCUUGAAAAAACACUACGACUCUCCACAGAUCUGACCUGUCACUUGGGACUUUCAUUCAAGAGAUCUUAUUGCUCAAAAAUACAUGCAUUCACAUAUCUGUUUGUCUCCAUGGAGAUAGAAACAUUUAAUAUCAUACUGUGGAACUUUCCAAGCAAAGCAGUAACAUCUCCAUGGAGACAAGCUGGUGGUAUAUAUAUCCUUCACCAGAAAAGUUGCAUAGAGCAGCUUUAAAAUAUUCCAAAAUCAAAACGGUUCUUGUUACAUCCCUAAUUCCUCAUCUCAUAUAAAGAAGUAAACGUUUUAAAAACCUUUUUCUGAAAUUCUACUUUUUGUGGCUAUUGACAUGCACAUAAAUAAAUUACAAAACAUUCAACACGAGUGGCCUCCUGCAUAGAAAAUGUGACUAUAAGCCCUGAAAUGACACCAACGUGUGGAGACUGCAUCCAAUGAUGAAAUGAAGCAUAAAUAAAAUCAUGAAAUAGGACAGAAAAACAACAUCCAAACAAGCCACUCAAAUGUACACAAGCUUAGCUCAUUCUCCAGACUAGUCUCUACUUAAGCAGUCAGAACCAGCUCACAUUACACUGCCCUCGGCUCAUACACAAGCAGGCGCUGUGUGUGUGAGUUUAUAAGAGAUUUUUCUGACAAAAUGUUAGUGUAAUUAUGAGUGUAAAUAACAACUGGGACUAAACUAAAGUUAAAACUAAACCAGGUCUAAGUAAGGAGUGAAUGAGGUCUACACCAGGCACUGAACCAGGACUAAUCCACAGACUGAACCGGGACUAAACCAGGAAUGACCCAAAUUUUCCCUUUGGGACAAUAAUAGUUGAAAGUUGGAUCUGCUCUAAAUCAGUCUGGUGUACACUGUCAGGAGAAGGUCAACCAAACAUCAACUGGAAGCAUAAAUAUUAUUAUAUACUAUAUUCCUAGUCUUGGUCUAGCCCUAGACUAGUCCUGGUGAUUUGAUCCUGGUUUAGUCCUGGUUUAGACCUGGUUUAGCCCUGGUCUAGGCCUCAUUACCAUAGAUUUUAUAAGUAUGAGCAGAGAGCACUGUUUACCUCUUGGGGGCCAAUGAGAGACAGGUAAAUAUGCAGAGGUGGGCAGGUCACAGUUACCGUUAUUUACUAGUUGAAUAAAAUCACUUUAAAGUGACAGACAGUAUUUUUACUCAAGUAAAAGUUUGAAUACACUACCCACCUCUGUUGUACAGUACAACAAUCCAGCAUUUUAACAGCAGAAACUCCAAUACUUUCUCUAUUCAACCCAAAUAUAUCAUUACAUUAGAAUGAUCAUAAAUACAAACAAGUGAAAAUGCGAAGUUUCACAGUGAAGUCCACAACAGUGUAAGGUGAGCCCCAAACUGUAAGAAAAACAUAUUAAAGGAACUGUAUAAAGCCUGAGCUAAACAAAAAGACCUGUACCUGUGUGUCCAGAGCCUGCAGAUAGAGACACAUACAGUGUGUCUCAUUCUCAGUUUAUGGACAGGCCUCAUGAACCUCCAGAAUUCACUCACUGAGCUGCAGAGGCUGCACUAGAGGCUGCACUGGUUCAUGAUCGACUGAAGGUGCCGACGUUUAGAUAGUGAUCAUUUAGAUCAGAGAGAGUCCUUUAAGGUUUAAACCAACAGGAUUUCAGCACUGAAACUGGCAACCCAAAUGAGAGAGUCGUGUGAGGCUCAUUCUACUUUUUGAUUGAAUCAUCUUGAAGCAAACCAUCAAAUUAUAACAACAACUUUAUGCCAUCAUGUCCAAUGUUUUUGUAACUAAGAUUAAAUCAGGAUUACUGUUGUUAUCAGUAAAAGCUCGAACUGAUUUGAAUAUGUUAAUGUUGUAUCCAGGGACACAGUUAGGUCAUGUUGAUGAAAUUCAAAGUGAAAGCCUUACAUACAGUUCCU
ensembl:lncRNA